UGGGGAAUAUUGGACAAUGGGCGAAAGCCUGAUCCAGCCAUGCCGCGUGUGUGAAGAAGGUCUUCGGAUUGUAAAGCACUUUAAGUUGGGAGGAAGGGCAGUAAGCGAAUACCUUGCUGUUUUGACGUUACCGACAGAAUAAGCACCGGCUAACUCUGUGCCAGCAGCCGCGGUAAUACAGAGGGUGCAAGCGUUAAUCGGAAUUACUGGGCGUAAAGCGCGCGUAGGUGGUUCGUUAAGUUGAAUGUGAAAGCCCCGGGCUCAACCUGGGAACUGCAUCCAAAACUGGCGAGCUAGAGUAGGGCGGAGGGUGGUGGAAUUUCCUGUGUAGCGGUGAAAUGCGUAGAUAUAGGAAGGAACACCAGUGGCGAAGGCGACCACCUGGGCUCAUACUGACACUGAGGUGCGAAAGCGUGGGGAGCAAACAGG
rnacentral:rRNA from 1 species